AACGAACGCUGGCGGCAUGCCUAACACAUGCAAGUCGAACGAUUGCCUUCGGGUGAUAGUGGCGCACGGGUGCGUAACGCGUGGGAAUCUGCCCUUAGGUUCGGAAUAACAGCUGGAAACGGCUGCUAAUACCGGAUGAUAUCGCGAGAUCAAAGAUUUAUCGCCUGAGGAUGAGCCCGCGUUGGAUUAGGUAGUUGGUGGGGUAAAGGCCUACCAAGCCGACGAUCCAUAGCUGGUCUGAGAGGAUGAUCAGCCACACUGGGACUGAGACACGGCCCAGACUCCUACGGGAGGCAGCAGUGGGGAAUAUUGGACAAUGGGCGCAAGCCUGAUCCAGCAAUGCGGCGUGAGUGAUGAAGGCCCUAGGGUUGUAAAGCUCUUUUACCCGGGAAGAUAAUGACUGUACCGGGAGAAUAAGCCCCGGCUAACUCCGUG
rnacentral:rRNA from 1 species